rnacentral:tRNA from 1 species
GGCUGAGUAGCUCAGUAGGUUAGAGCGGAGGACUCAUAAGCCUCAGGUCGCUGGUUCGAUCCCAGCCUCAGCCACCA